AACGAACGCUGGCGGCGUGCCUAACACAUGCAAGUCGAACGCGAAAGCCCCUUCGGGGGCAAGUAGAGUGGCGUCCGGGUGAGUAACACGUGGGUAAUCUACCUCCGGGUGGGGAAUAACUCGCCGAAAGGCGGGCUAAUACCGCAUAAUGCAGCGGCACCGAAUGGUGAUUAGUUGUUAAAGCGGGGGACCUUAGGGCCUCGCGUCUGGAGAGGAGCCUGCGGCAGAUUAGCUUGUUGGUAGGGGUAAUGGCCUACCAAGGCUGCGAUCUGUAGCUGGUCUGAGAGGACGGCCAGCCACACUGGCACUGACACACGGGCCAGACUCCUACGGGAGGCAGCAGUGGGGAAUUUUGGGCAAUGGGCGAAAGCCUGACCCAGCAACGCCGCGUGAAGGAGGAAAUCCUUCGGGAUGUAAACUUCACAAGCAAGGGAAGAGCGCGCGAGGGUCGAAUAAACUCUGCGUCCGACGGUACCUUGCGUAAGCCACGGCUAACUACGUGACAGCAGCCG
rnacentral:rRNA from 1 species